AGGACGAUAAAAAUAAAAAUGAUCAGCAGUGAAUUUCCACCGACAGACUCAGUACUCUUCUUGAAGCUAAAUAACCAAUUGCGUUGUUAGGUAAAGAUAAUAAACAUUUGUCGGCGCCCGGAUACCAGAGUUUCUCGUUGCCAUGGUGAUAACGUUGCUAAUGGCGACGGCAGUCGAGGAUUUUCCGAAAGUACCAUCUCUGUCUGUCGUCAGCUUCCAACCAGUCGCAGCAGAUGGUCGCUCAUCCAUAAAUCUGGCUCUUCUGGAGGUUUUUUCCUGGAGAAAGAAACGUUUCCCUCCGCUUUGCUCUCCCAUGAGAGGGGAGGGCCGAAGAAGAAGGUGAUCAAAACACGGACGCUGUGCAGCGAUUUGAAACCAGUUCAGAGACGCACCUCAGCCACAACGGGAGCAGAAAAAAGAAAAAGAAACGUGAGUGAAAUAAAAACAAUACAUGAGGACCA